rnacentral:rRNA from 1 species
GACGAACGCUGGCGGCGUGCUUAACGCAUGCAAGUCGAACGGAAAGGCCCUGCUUUUGUGGGGUGCUCGAGUGGCGAACGGGUGAGUAACACGUGAGUAACCUGCCCUUGACUUUGGGAUAACUUCAGGAAACUGGGGCUAAUACCGGAUAGGAGCUCCUGCUGCAUGGUGGGGGUUGGAAAGUUUCGGCGGUUGGGGAUGGACUCGCGGCUUAUCAGCUUGUUUGUGGGGUAGUGGCUUACCAAGGCUUUGACGGGUAGCCGGCCUGAGAGGGUGACCGGCCACAUUGGGACUGAGAUACGGCCCAGACUCCUACGGGAGGCAGCAGUGGGGAAUAUUGCACAAUGGGCGGAAGCCUGAUGCAGCAACGCCGCGUGCGGGAUGACGGCCUUCGGGUUGUAAACCGCUUUCGCCUGUGACGAAGCGUGAGUGACGGUAAUGGGUAAAGAAGCACCGGCUAACUACGUG